rnacentral:rRNA from 1 species
UCCUACGGGAGGCAGCAGUGGGGAAUAUUGGGCAAUGGGGGAAACCCUGACCCAGCAACGCCGCGUGAAGGAAGAAGGUCUUCGGGUUGUAAACUUCUUUUACCAGGGACGAAGGACGUGACGGUACCUGGAGAAAAAGCAACGGCUAACUACGUGCCAGCAGCCGCGGUAAUACGUAGGUUGCAAGCGUUGUCCGGAUUUACUGGGUGUAAAGGGCGUGUAGGCGGAGAUGCAAGUUGGGAGUGAAAUCCAUGGGCUCAACCCAUGAACUGCUCUCAAAACUGUAUCCCUUGAGUAUCGGAGAGGCAAGCGGAAUUCCUAGUGUAGCGGUGAAAUGCGUAGAUAUUAGGAGGAACACCAGUGGCGAAGGCGGCUUGCUGGACGACAACUGACGCUGAGGCGCGAAAGCGUGGGGAGCAAACAGGAUUAGAUACCCUGGUAGUCCACGCUGUAAACGAUGAAUACUAGGUGUGGGAGGACUGACCCCUUCCGUGCCGCAGUUAACACAAUAAGUAAUCCACCU